AAAAGAUCAAGGAAUCAGCUCUUAUCAGAGUAAUAUUGAAAUUGCGCUUAAUGGAUGCCUUCAUGCUUCUGGCUUACCACAGAAGAAGCAGGUGGUGUUCUUGAAACCCAUGCCAUGGAACCUUGUAUAAGAUGAAGAGACCACAUCUGUACUCAGUAUUCAAGAUGUGGGCAUACCAUGGAUUUAUAUAAGGGCAGUAAGAUAUUCUCUGUCUUAUUCUCUAUCCCUUUUUUAAUGAUUCCUAACAUCCUAUUUGCUUUUUUAACUGCCGCUGCACACUGCGUGGACGUCUUCAGAGAACUAUCCACAAUGACUCCAAGAUCUCUUUUCUGAUUAGU